rnacentral:piRNA from 1 species
UGGAAGCUUAACAUGGCCUUCUCUGGUAC